GAUGAACGCUGGCGGCGUGCCUAAUACAUGCAAGUCGAGCGAACAGACGAGGAGCUUGCUCCUCUGACGUUAGCGGCGGACGGGUGAGUAACACGUGGAUAACCUACCUAUAAGACUGGGAUAACUUCGGGAAACCGGAGCUAAUACCGGAUAAUAUAUUGAACCGCAUGGUUCAAUAGUGAAAGACGGUUUUACUGUCACUUAUAGAUGGAUCCGCGCCGCAUUAGCUAGUUGGUAACGUAACGGCUUACCAAGGCAACGAUGCGUAGCCGACCUGAGAGGGUGAUCGGCCACACUGGAACUGAGACACGGUCCAGACUCCUACGGGAGGCAGCAGUAGGGAAUCUUCCGCAAUGGGCGAAAGCCUGACGGAGCAACGCCGCGUGAGUGAUGAAGGUCUUCGGAUCGUAAAACUCUGUUAUUAGGGAAGAACAAAUGUGUAAGUAACUAUGCACGUCUUGACGGUACCUAAUCAGAAAGCCACGGCUAACUACGUG
rnacentral:rRNA from 1 species